rnacentral:rRNA from 1 species
CCUACGGGAGGCAGCAGUGGGGGAUAUUGCACAAUGGGGGAAACCCUGAUGCAGCGACGCCGCGUGGGUGAAGAAGCGCCUCGGCGCCUUAAGCCCUGUCAGCAGGGAAGAAAAUGACGGUACCUGACGAAGAAGCCCCGGCUAACUACGUGCCAGCAGCCGUGGUAAUACGUAGGGGGCAAGCGUUAUCCGGAUUGACUGGGUGUAAGGGGGGGGCAGACGGCGAUGCAAGCCAGGAGUGAAAGCCCGGGGCCCAAACCCGGGACUGCUCUUGGAACUGCGUGGCUAGAGUGCAGGAGGGGCAGGCGGAAUGCCUGGUGUAGCGGUGAAAUGCGUAGAUAUCAGGAGGAACACCGGUGGCGAAGGCGGCCUGCUGGACUGCAACUGACGUUGAGGCCCGAAAGCGUGGGGAGCAAACAGGAUUAGAUACCCGUGUAGUC